UUUUCCAUUUUUUUCAAUUUUUUUGACUCCCUGACGUCAGCGUGACAUCAGCGCCCUAGGGCUGAAGCCCAGGCAAAAUCUGCCCUUGGGCUUGCCCAGGCUGGUGGGACCCAGGGCUUGCCUUGGCUGCAGGUCAUGCGCUGGAGGGUCUUUUGGGCUGGCAGGGGGCCUUUUGCCCAGGUUUGUGGCAUGCGCUGGACAUGCUCUAAGGGCAAAUGGGUGGAGUUGCUCUAAAAACUCUCCAGGAAAAGAGAAAACGUGAAAAAACAAAAGCUGACACUUUGUAAACAAGCUAGUCUCAAACAGGAAAAAAAAAAAAAACAUAACAAAAAUUCCUCCGGUAUCAGAUCCAAAAUUCAGUUUUAGAUUUCACCCUCGCGCUCGCCUCACUGCCUCCAUCCACAACUCUCUCUUCUCUUUGUUCUCUCUAUUUUCCGUAGCACACGCUCUCUCUGUUCUCCAUAUCUCUCCCUUUGUCUCAUCUCUGUAUUUAUCUGGUCUCUCAAUCUCCUUUCCAGACUUCAUUUCAAAACCAAACCUAAAUACCCAAAAUCUCAGCCACAAUCGCGCCCCUUUGCUCUCCUCAAAUCAUACUGUCUGCAUCCACAAAUCGCCCAUUUGCUUUGCCAAACUCUUAUUGUCUCCAUCCACAAAUUGCCACUUUGCUCGCCCUAACUCUCAUUGUCACCUCCUUUUCCUUAUCUCAACUCCAGAACUAAACCCUAAAACUCCCAUCGCCAAUUUACGAAAAACCCAAAUUCACCUUACUUUCUCACACUUAUAUUAUCACAGAUGACAAGACAACAAGUGAUUGAUGAUGAGAACCCCCAAUUUCUUUCGUUCAGUUAGCACAAAAUGGCAAAUACAUUCUUGUUGGCACUUUGGAUGAUAAUUUGGUUUUAGAUAACAAGGAUGAUGAAGUGUGAGUCAGCAGAACAAGUGUGACCUUAUUGUCAAUCUUAAAACUUCAGUAAACCAAAAAUUGUUGUGGUGGGAUAGUGUAAAUUUUAAAUCCAAAGCUUUUGACUUUUAUGAUGGUUAGGGAUACCAGUUUUCGUAGAGAAGGUGCUGACAUUCAUGUAGAUGUUGGUUUGUGUAUUCCUCCGAUUGGUAUAACUAGGGAGGCUCCAACCAAAGCAAGACUUGGACUUGUCAUGAGCUUUCACUUAGAGAUGUUAUGGGGAAAGUAAAGCUUCUAAGUGACAAGUUAGAGAGCUUAUUUCAUUUUAGUACGUUUAUUUUAAAUGUAUUCAUGUUGUAAUUUCAAUACUAUGUAAGUAUAUGGUUGUGUUAUUUUAAAUUAUUGUAUAUAAUUGUAUUAUUCUAGUGGAUUUACAAUUUCUUAUAUGUUUUAUAUGUAUUUCUUUUAAUGAUAAAGUCAAUCUUUACAGCCUU